CUUGUGGGGGCGGCUCUUCAAACUAAGAUGGCUGCCAAUGAAGAAAGAUUCACAGGUUGAAUUGCUUGUGGCUGGCUGAAGAAAAAAUGACCGAUCGUUUUUUGUUUUUUUUUCUUCAAUGGCUGACCACUCUAUAUUCUUCAACAAAUCCUUCAGAGAUGCCUCGGUGCCUCUUGGGUUUUGUCCUCUACCUUACGUAACGUAGAUCCUGUCACAGAACGUCAGCCUCAGCGCAGCAGCAUCAAGUCUCGUUUAUUCUGACCCCAUUUAAUAGGGCCGGCGACACUCUCAACCAUCAAUCGAAUUCCCUCGAAAAUUCCAUGUGAAUGCUGAGAGGCGACAUCACUGAGUUCCUGUAAUGCUAGGUGACUGGGACGGCUGCCACAUGGACGGCGAGUGGAGGAAAAAAGGACUGUAACUAAUGGAGGGCAGACAGCUCACACAAAGGAAACGGAAGAGAGAGUAUGUGUGUUUGUGAGAGUGACCGAUGAUGAAGCGCUGAGCAAAUGCAUCACCACAUUGUCCUACUUCAUCAAAAUAACAUUAUCAUACUGCCCCUGACAAACUGCAGGCUUGACACAUCGACCCACACACACACGCACACAUUUUCAAGAAUUGUGGCAAGUCAGCUUUUGCUGCCCACCUGGCUUUUCAUGCAAGUCACCGCGAGGUGAAAUGUUGUUUGUGCUGUAAUAUAAAAAUACCCCUGCUGACUUUUACCAAAGUCUAAGCCUUUGUUCAUCUUGUGCGAGUUAACUUUUCUUGCUUUUCUUAGAGCAAUUUAAAAAGUAAUCAUAGUUGUUUUUCCUGCUCUGCUAAAACCAUUGAGCGUUAGGGCCAGCAAAGUCUUCCCUGCUGGCCUAAAAAAUGUUGUAUAAUAUAUAUUAAAUAUUGCACCGAGUUUAAAGGGAAUAAGAGAAGCUGCUUCGAUUGGACAGGAUUAAAGUCUCUUGUGGGGAUGCCCACACCAGCGUAGACGUGCCACUUUUAAAUGAGCUUGGGGUACACCAGUCCACGAAAUUACCAAAACUGGGCCUAGCCCGCCUGCUUUCAAAGUUAUGCCAAGCACAGCAUUGGAUUUGUGCUCGUCACGAAAAUGGAGCCCCAAGUGUUAACAACCUUGGACCACGAACGUAACAUUUUGAGCAGAUGAUUGACAAUAAGG